AAGCAUAAAACUCAUGUUUGAAGUACACAUAUAGUGGAAUACAAAUGUGCCGAGAUAAGGAUAUUUUCUGAAUCUCACAAUUUUGUUGGUGUAACCUGCAACAGCAUGUUUGCUGUUAUGGCUGUUUCUACUUAUGUUUAGAAGGCAACCAAGCUGAGGGUUUCAGUGACAUGAAGAGUGUGACGUGAAUAAUGCCAUGUGUGUACAUACAUGUUCCAGUUCUGCUUGACAAUGCCUUACUAAAUUCAUCACUUGUAUGAUAAAGGAAAUCUCAACAUGAGGACUGUUUGUUGCUGUGAUUUCCAUUUUUACGGUUUUUUUAUCAUGAAAAUUUCAUUGUGCUUCUUAGUUAAGAACUAAAGAGCACGCUAGAGAUCCAUAAGCCAAUCCUGCCCUUUGUCCAGGACGGACGAGUGACUUCCAUUCACGUUAUCUUCCCGACGUAUGUUCAUCAUCUAGCUUCGCUGCUACACACCUGCAGUUACUCACCACGGGAUUAUGUCCAGGUAAUGAAGAGGAGACGUCGAGAAGAUGGAUUUUCUCAUCUUUAAAAAUCGUCACCGGUCUCCGUCGGAUGUUGCCCCUGCUCCUGGUGCGAACGAAACUCGGUGGAGUGCAUGGAUAAUUCGCCAACAAAAUACUUCUGGCAUUGGAAAAGGAUAAUCGAUGGAAAGGGACCAUCACUGGAAAACGGAAAUGGACAAUCGCGACCGGCACCGAGACUCCUCAUCAACGUGGAUCAUCGUAUUGU